rnacentral:lncRNA from 1 species
AGUCGGAUGUGCAGGUUAGAGGUCAAAUUAUUUCUUGGCAAUAAGAUAUGAGCAUAAAAAUUUAAAAUGAUGAAACCCAAGUUAUCCAAAAUGAUGACUACAAAUUGCGCAUUAGUGCUUUUAUGUAUCCUGUUUUUAAAUUACAGUGAGUGUAAUGUUACCUUAAGCUACGCUGAUUUUUUUAAAAAUCUGUCAAAAUCACAACCUGGUAAUACCCAAAAGGCCUACAUCAUCCGAGUGAAUUGUAAACAAGGAUACAAAAUGAUACAUGGAAAAUGUCGACAGAUCUUUUAUUAGACUCCUGCUGACCCUGUUAAUAGAAAACUAAUAGCUAUAAUUUAGAUAUUUAUUGUAAUUAUGUAAUUAUAGGAUUUUUAUUGUAUUAUUUUGUUAAUAUAUUUAGUGUUAAUAUUUGACCAUACAUAAAUUCGUCUAUAACA